rnacentral:sRNA from 1 species
GUGGGCCUUAAUGUCCUGGUUCAGAAAGCCAACAAGUUCACCCCAGCCACCCGCCUUCUCAUCCAGAGGUUUGUGCCGUUCCCUGCUGUAGCCAGUGCCAAUAUCUGCAAUGUGGUCCUGAUGCGGUACGGGGAGCUGGAGGAAGGGAUUGAUGUCCUGGACAGCGAUGGCAACCUCGUGGGCUCCUCCAAGAUCGCAGCCCGACACGCCCUGCUGGAGACGGCGCUGACGCGAGUGGUCCUGCCCAUGCCCAUCCUGGUGCUACCCCCGAUCGUCAUGUCCAUGCUGGAGAAGACGGCUCUCCUGCAGGCACGCCCCCGGCUGCUCCUCCCUGUGCAAAGCCUCGUGUGCCUGGCAGCCUUCGGCCUGGCCCUGCCGCUGGCCAUCAGCCUCUUCCCGCAGAUGUCAGAGGAGGAAGAAAAACCAUCAAGAGGGGGAAGAAGCAGCUAAGGGCACAGGGAGAACCCAGAUGGAGUAACUUCAUGGAAGCUGAGGAUUCGGGCGAUUCAAAGAGGAGGGGCUCUCUGCAGAGUGGAUUGAAACAUCCCAAUUAGAGCCGGAGAUAGCCCAGGCCACGAGCAGCCGGACAGUGGUGUACAACAAGGGGCUGUGAGUGUGGUCAGCGGCCUGGGGACGGAGCACUGUGCAGCCGGGGAGCUGAGGGGCAGGGUGGUAGACUCACAGCUGCACCUGCAGGGAGCAGCACACCAACCCCAGCAGUCCUGGGCCCCCUGGGAGAGUGCUCAACCUGCAGUGGAGGGAGACUGACCCAUUCACAUUUUAACAUAGGCGAGAGGAGUUCUAACACAUUUCGCACAAAAAAAUAAUCAAGUGCAUUUCUGGGCCUUAUGUGGGGUUGUCAGAACUCCACUCAGCACAAUUAUGUGUGAAGCUG